rnacentral:lncRNA from 10 species
CUGGGUUACAGGCACGUGCCACCAUGCCCAGCUCAUUUUUUCGUACUUUUAGUAGAGACAGGGUUUCACCAUGUUGGCCAGGAUGGUCUCUAACUCCAGAACUUGUGAUCCACCCGCCUCGGCUUCCCAAAAUGCUGGGAUUACAGGCGUGAGCCACCAUGCCUGGCCAUCACGUCUUUAGUAUACCUACCAGUUCUUCAAAAAUUAAAAGUGCUGCUUCAUCCAAAUGAGUACA